rnacentral:rRNA from 1 species
GAUGAACGCUGGCGGCGUGCCUAAUACAUGCAAGUCGAGCGAACAGAUAAGGAGCUUGCUCCUUUGACGUUAGCGGCGGACGGGUGAGUAACACGUGGGUAACCUACCUAUAAGACUGGAGUAACUCCGGGAAACCGGGGCUAAUGCCGGAUAACAUUUAGAACCGCAUGGUUCUAAAGUGAAAGAUGGUUUUGCUAUCACUUAUAGAUGGACCCGCGCCGUAUUAGCUAGCUGGUAAGGUAACGGCUUACCAAGGCAACGAUACGUAGCCGACCUGAGAGGGUGAUCGGCCACACUGGAACUGAGACACGGUCCAGACUCCUACGGGAGGCAGCAGUAGGGAAUCUUCCGCAAUGGGCGAAAGCCUGACGGAGCAACGCCGCGUGAGUGAUGAAGGUCUUCGGAUCGUAAAACUCUGUUAUUAGGGAAGAACAAAUGUGUAAGUAACUGUGCACGUCUUGACGGUACCUAAUCAGAAAGCCACGGCUAACUACGUG